CUUGGGAGGGACAUCUGAGGGCUUCUGUUAUACUCAGUGGUUUCUUAAUCUGGUUGGGUUUGCAAAGUGCACACCAAAGACUCCAGAGAAGACGUUGCCAGUUCAUAUCCCAAAUGUUGUUCUUUUGAAGCCCAUGAGUGAGUGAAACACUGCGCGUGCCUUCAACAACAACACUUCAAAAUCGUGCCACAAUUAACAGAAGCAAAGUAAAGUUUUAUUUGUCUUGUGGAUGCUUCACUUGGGAAGGUGCUGUUGAAAGAGAGAGAACACCUGGGGACAGAGACCGGCCAGGUAUCCAGUCUGCCAGGCUUCUGCAUGGGUUUUGGGAGCCUGCAGAGAGUUGCUUGGGAUGCAGCAGUGGUUCUGAUGCUCGGAGUUCAAGGUGAGGUCAGAUACUUACUUCACUUUCUUUCUUCCAUGGGGACGGUGUC
rnacentral:lncRNA from 1 species